GACGAACGCUGGCGGCGUGCUUAACACAUGCAAGUCGAACGGAAAGGCCCUGCUUUUGUGGGGUGCUCGAGUGGCGAACGGGUGAGUAACACGUGAGUAACCUGCCCUUGACUUUGGGAUAACUUCAGGAAACUGGGGCUAAUACCGGAUAGGAGCUCCUGCUGCAUGGUGGGGGUUGGAAAGUUUCGGCGGUUGGGGAUGGACUCGCGGCUUAUCAGCUUGUUGGUGGGGUAGUGGCUUACCAAGGCUUUGACGGGUAGCCGGCCUGAGAGGGUGACCGGCCACAUUGGGACUGAGAUACGGCCCAGACGCAUACGGGGGCAGCAGUGGGGAAUAUUGCACAAUGGGCGGAAGCCUGAUGCAGCAACGCCGCGUGCGGGAUGACGGCCUUCGGGUUGUAAACCGCUUUCGCCUGUGACGAAGCGUGAGUGACGGUAAUGGGUAAAGAAGCACCGGCUAACUACGUG
rnacentral:rRNA from 1 species